rnacentral:rRNA from 1 species
AGAGUUUGAUCCUGGCUCAGAACGAACGCUGGCGGCAGGCUUAACACAUGCAAGUCGAACGCAUCCUUCGGGGUGAGUGGCAGACGGGUGAGUAACGCGUGGGAACGUGCCCUUCAGUUCGGGAUAACCCAGGGAAACUUGGGCUAAUACCGGAUACGUGCGAGAGCAGAAAGAUUUAUCGCUGAAGGAUCGGCCCGCGUCUGAUUAGCUAGUUGGUAGGGUAAUGGCCUACCAAGGCGACGAUCAGUAGCUGGUCUGAGAGGAUGAUCAGCCACAUUGGGACUGAGACACGGCCCAAACUCCUACGGGAGGCAGCAGUGGGGAAUAUUGGACAAUGGGCGCAAGCCUGAUCCAGCCAUGCCGCGUGAGUGAUGAAGGCCUUAGGGUUGUAAAGCUCUUUCGUCCGGGACGAUAAUGACGGUACCGGAAGAAGAAGCCCCGGCUAACUUCGUGCCAGCAGCCGCGGUAAUACGAAGGGGGCUAGCGUUGUUCGGAAUCACUGGGCGUAAAGGGCGCGUAGGCGGCUUUAUAAGUCGGGGGUGAAAGCCUGUGGCUCAACCACAGAAUUGCCUUCGAUACUGUAGAGCUUGAGACCGGAAGAGGUAAGUGGAACUGCGAGUGUAGAGGUGAAAUUCGUAGAUAUUCGCAAGAACACCAGUGGCGAAGGCGGCUUACUGGUCCGGUUCUGACGCUGAGGCGCGAAAGCGUGGGGAGCAAACAGGAUUAGAUACCCUAGUAGUCC